UGGGUGUGAUUAAAUGAUUUUUCCACGCCGCUGAGAGUAACUAAUGAAGCAUAUGAUCAAAAAAAUAGUUGAAUUUCUUAAUAUGAGCCU